rnacentral:lncRNA from 1 species
AUGAAAAAGUACCAUCAAGAAUGGGAAAAGCUGGAGCGCUCCGGAGGACUCGGCGGCUUGGGUCGGAGGCUGGAGCCGGCGGGCAUUAUGGACAAAUCUAAAGAAAACUGCAUUGCAGGGCCUGUUAAGGAAAUAAUUCUGAAAAGGAACUGGCAACAAAACAGAAAAAUGAAGAAUCAAAAAAAAGGCAAUGGGCUUUGGAAGAUUUUGAAAUUGGUCGCCCACUGGGUAAAGGAAAGUUUGGUAAUGUUUACUUGGCAAGGGAAAAACAAAGCAAGUUUAUCCUGGCUAUUAAAGUAUUAUUUAAAGCUCAACUGGAGAAAGCAGGAGUUGAACAUCAGCUGAGAAGAGAAGUAGAAAUACAGUCCCACCUUAGGCAUCCAAAUAUUCUUAGGCUGUAUGGUUAUUUCCAUGAUGCCACCAGAGUUUACCUAAUUCUAGAAUAUGCACCUCUUGGAGCUGUCUACAGAGAACUUCAGAAACUGUCUAAGUUUGAUGAGCAGAGAACUGCUAAUAUCACAGAGUUGGCAGAUGCCCUGUCUUACUGUCACUCAAAGAGUCAUUCACAGAGACAUUAAGCCAGAGAACCUACUCCUUGGAUCAGCUGGAGAGCUUAAGAUUGCAGAUUUUGGGUGGUCAGUACAUGCUCCAUCCUCCAGGAGAACCACCCUGUGUGGCACCCUGGAUUACUUGCCCCCAGAGAUGAUUGAAGGCUGAAUGCAUGAUGAGAAGGUGGAUCUCUGGAGCCUCGGGGUUCUUUGCUAUGAAUUUCUAGUUGGGAAGCCUCCUUUUGAGGCAAGCACAUACCAAGAGACCUACAAAAGAAUAUCACGGGUUGAAUUCACAUUCCCUGACUUCGUGCCGGAGGGAGCCAGGGAUCUCAUUUCAAGACUGUUGAAACAGGGAUCCCUGGGUGGCGCAGCGGUUUGGCGCCUGCCUUUGGCCCAGGGCGCGAUCCUGGAGACUCGGGAUCGAAUCCCACGUCAGGCUCCCGGUGCAUGGAGCCUGCUUCUCCCUCUGCCUGUGUCUCUGCCUCUCUCUCUCUC